rnacentral:sRNA from 1 species
CAAAGUGUCUCAUCCUGCUUUUUGUUUUACUCAAAGUAAAACAAAAAGCAGGAUGAGACACUUUG